rnacentral:rRNA from 1 species
UACGUAGGGCGCAAGCGUUAUCCGGAAUUAUUGGGCGUAAAGAGCUCGUAGGCGGUUUGUCGCGUCUGCUGUGAAAACUCGGGGCUUAACCCCGGGCCUGCAGUGGGUACGGGCAGACUAGAGUGCGGUAGGGGAGACUGGAAUUCCUGGUGUAGCGGUGAAAUGCGCAGAUAUCGGGAAGAACACCCGUGGCGAAGGCGGCUCUCUGGAACGCAACUGACGCUGAGACGCGAAAGCGUGGGGAGCAAACAGG